GGCUCAGGACGAACGCUGGCGGCGCGCCUAAUACAUGCAAGUCGAGCGAGAAGGUGUAGCAAUACACUUGUAAAGCGGCGAACGGGUGAGGAAUGCAUGGGUAACCUACCCCCGAGUGGGGAAUAACUAGCCGAAAGGUUAGCUAAUACCGCAUACGUUUCCGGGACUUUGGUACCGGAAGGAAAGCAAUACCGUGGGUAUUGCGCUCAUGGAUGGGCUCAUGUCCUAUCAGCUUGUUGGUGAGGUAACGGCUCACCAAGGCUUCGACGGGUAGCUGGUCUGAGAGGACGAUCAGCCACACUGGCACUGCGACACGGGCCAGACUCCUACGGGAGGCAGCAGUAAGGAAUAUUGCGCAAUGGACGAAAGUCUGACGCAGCGACGCCGCGUGGGGGAUGAAGGUCUUCGGAUUGUAAACCCCUUUCGGGAGGGAAGAUGGAGUGGGUAACCACUUGGACGGUACCUCCAGAAGCAGCCACGGCUAACUUCGUGCCAGCAGCCGCGGUAAUACGAAGGUGGCAAGCGUUGUUCGGAUUCACUGGGCGUACAGGGAGCGUAGGCGGUUGGGUAAGCCCUCCGUGAAAUCUCCAGGCUUAACCUGGAAAGUGCAGAGGGGACUGCUCAGCUAGAGGAUGGGAGAGGAGCGCGGAAUUCCCGGUGUAGCGGUGAAAUGCGUAGAGA
rnacentral:rRNA from 1 species